GACGAACGCUGGCGGCGUGCCUAAUACAUGCAAGUAGAACGCUGAAGGAGGAGCUUGCUUCUCUGGAUGAGUUGCGAACGGGUGAGUAACGCGUAGGUAACCUGCCUGGUAGCGGAGGAUAACUAUUGGAAACGAUAGCUAAUACCGCAUAAGAGUAGAUGUCGCAUGACAUUUGCUUAAAAGGUGCAAUUGCAUCACUACCAGAUGGACCUGCGUUGUAUUAGCUAGUUGGUGAGGUAACGGCUCACCAAGGCAACGAUACAUAGCCGACCUGAGAGGGUGAUCGGCCACACUGGGACUGAGACACGGCCCAGACUCCUACGGGAGGCAGCAGUAGGGAAUCUUCGGCAAUGGACGGAAGUCUGACCGAGCAACGCCGCGUGAGUGAAGAAGGUUUUCGGAUCGUAAAGCUCUGUUGUAAGAGAAGAACGAGUGUGAGAGUGGAAAGUUCACACUGUGACGGUACCUUACCAGAAAGGGACGGCUAACUACGUG
rnacentral:rRNA from 1 species